ensembl:snRNA U6 U6 spliceosomal RNA
GUGCUCGCUUUGGUAGCACAUGUACUAAAAUUGGAAAGAUACAGAGAAGAAGAGAAGAUUAGCGUGGUCCCUUCAUAAGGAUGAUAUGCAAAUUCGUGAAGUGUUCCAUAUUUUU